GAGCUGUAGUAUAGUGCCGCCCCCUGUCAGAUCUGUGUGUCAUCGUACAUGUAUGUUUUGUAGUUGUUUAGCUAGAUGGCGCACCCCCCUUCUGUCAUGUGACGAGCUUGGGCCAAUCUGGAGGUGUCAUCUAGCGUGUGAAGCCUUUAUAAGUAAUAAACGGCCGCGGGUCGGCUGAGUCUUCGUUCCGGUUUUCA
rnacentral:lncRNA from 1 species